rnacentral:rRNA from 1 species
CCUACGUGAGGCAGCAGUUGGGAAUCUUGCACAAUGGGGGAAACCCUGAUGCAGCGACGCCGCGUGAGUGAAGAAGUAAUUCGUUAUGUAAAGCUCUAUCAUCAGGGAAGAAAAUGACGGUACCUGAGUAAGAAGCCCCGGCUAACUACGUGCCAGCAGCCGCGGUAAUACGUAGGGGGCCAGCGGUAUCCGGAUUUACUGUGUGUAAAGGGAGCGUAGACGGCAGUGCAAGUCUGGAGUGAAAGGCGGGGGCUCAACCCCCGGACUGCUCUGGAAACUGUACGGCGGGAGUGCAGGAGAGGUAAGUGGAAGUCCUAGUGUAGAGGUGAAAUGCGUAGAUAUUAGGAGGAACACAAGUGGCGAAGGCGGCUUACUGGACUGUAACUGACGUUGAGGCGCGAAAGCGUGGGGAGCAAACAGGAUUAGAUACCCCUGUAGUC